CCUGGCUCAGAUUGAACGCUGGCGGCAUGCUUUACACAUGCAAGUCGAACGGCAGCACGGGUGCUUGCACCUGGUGGCGAGUGGCGGACGGGUGAGUAAUGCAUCGGAACGUGUCCUAAAGUGGGGGAUAACGCAUCGAAAGAUGUGCUAAUACCGCAUAUUCUCUGAGGAGGAAAGUAGGGGAUCGAAAGACCUUAUGCUUUUGGAGCGGCCGGUGUCUGAUUAGCUAGUUGGUAGGGUAAUGGCUUACCAAGGCGACGAUCAGUAGUUGGUCUGAGAGGACGACCAGCCACACUGGGACUGAGACACGGCCCAGACUCCUACGGGAGGCAGCAGUGGGGAAUUUUGGACAAUGGGCGCAAGCCUGAUCCAGCAAUGCCGCGUGAGUGAAGAAGGCCUGG
rnacentral:rRNA from 1 species